UACGAAGGGGGCUAGCGUUGUUCGGAAUUACUGGGCGUAAAGCGCGCGCAGGCGGUUCUUUAAGUCAGGGGUGAAAGCCCAGAGCUCAACUCUGGAAUUGCCUUUGAAACUAGAGAACUUGGGUACGGGAGAGGUGAGUGGAAUUCCGAGUGUAGAGGUGAAAUUCGUAGAUAUUCGGAAGAACACCAGUGGCGAAGGCGGCUCACUGGCCCGUUACCGACGCUCAGGCGCGAAAGCGUGGGGAGCAAACAGG
rnacentral:rRNA from 1 species